GACGAACCGUCCUAACGUUGUUCGGAAUCACUGGGCUUAAAGGGCGCGUAGGCGGGUUCCCAAGUCGGGGGUGAAAUCUUUCGGCUCAACCGGGAAAGGGCCCCCGAUACUGGAUGCCUCGAGGGGGGUAGGGGCGUGCGGAACUUCCGGUGGAGCGGUGAAAUGCGUAGAGAUCGGAAGGAACGCCGGUGGCGAAAGCGGCGCGCUGGACCCCUCCUGACGCUGAGGCGCGAAAGCCAGGGGAGCGAACGGG
rnacentral:rRNA from 1 species